CUGAAGAGCUGCUGAGGAGGAGGAACAGGAGGAAGAGGAGGGGGAGAGGCCAGCAGCCUGCUUCUGAGUGUCCUAAAACAGUUCUCAUCGACCACAUCAGACACGGUCGUCGCCACAAUACACACAUCGUUUGUCACACACCAAUGUGACAUGGUGAGCAACACUGUGGCCGUCGACUUACAGACAAGCUGUAAAUCUUCUGCGUUGAGAAAGGAGCGUUGGUUCACAUGGAAAAAAACAAGGACACAAAGAGGAGAGGACCUGGAUCUUAUCACUCGGGGGUUUGAACACAAACCAGACCACCUCUCACCAACUCCAAACAGCAAAUUAGGAGCUGGGAGCUGCCGACUGCACUUGUGACAAAGACGUGACGGAGAGCAGACGGGCUGGACUGUGUCACAGGUCACAUGGGCCCCGAUACGAGAGGAAUGCUGACCAUGUACAGCCAGAAUAAGCAGAGAUGUCCAUACGUUUGUUUCAGUUCAAGCAGGCCUUCAUAAUGCAUUCUUAUUAAUGUAGUAAAUUCAGUUGUAUCCAGUUGUAAACCCGUCCGUUCGUUUUCUGUAUCAAACGUUUCAAUGUGGUGGGUGGAGGGAAUCAACAGGUGAGAGACAGAGCUUAUAAAGUACCAGUCCAUCACAGGAUCAGUGCUGAGACACAACGUGGCAACGUCAGCAUGCAAAGGUUCCAGCUGAGGUUGAAACUCGCAACCUUCCUGUACGCCUUAAGAGUUCUUUUAUUUUUUUUCUAUAAAGGAAUCUAAACAGUGAUUGGCUCUUUCUGU